rnacentral:rRNA from 1 species
GACGAACCGUGCGAACGUUGUUCGGAAUCACUGGGCUUAAAGGGCGCGUAGGCGGGCUGUCAAGUCUGGGGUGAAAUGCCGCGGCUCAACCGUGGAACUGCCUUAGAUACUGACGGCCUCGAGGAAGGUAGGGGCAUGCGGAACUGUAGGUGGAGCGGUGAAAUGCGCAGAUAUCAGGAAGAACACCCGUGGCGAAGGCGGCUCUCUGGGACGGUACUGACGCUGAGACGCGAAAGCGUGGGGAGCGAACAGG